rnacentral:lncRNA from 1 species
GAAAAGCAAAUGGAUCAACCCAAAGGACAGUGAUACCGGAAUGCCUCUGAGGUUUUGUUGUUUGGUUUUUGGUUUGGUUUGGUUUGGCUUUAAAAACUAUAAUUUUUAAAGUGUCAUGAUAACGCUUAUGAUUGUAAAAGUUUCACGUGUAAAUACAAUCUCCUGAGUUUUCUCACAAAGUGGACACAUUUUUUUUCUGCUUUUCUACAACACAACACAGGCAGAGUUUCAUAGUAGUUGAUGCUAACAUAAUUUACCCCAUUUUUCACUCUGUUCCCCCAGCUCACUUUACCAGCCACAUGUGAAGCAGGUAUCUGAGCUUAAGUACAGACCAGAUACAAUGAAACAAGAGCCCAAUACAAGUGUUAGUCCCCUGGAUUUCUGACCUCAUAAGCAAUUUUGUUGCUGAUGGUUGGUUUUCAUUGAGCAGUAACUGCAAUGCUCUCUGUUCUUCGGGAACAAUGAGUGUAUCUUCUUAAACUAAUUGAACCCAGUUUCUGAUUACAUGUUUCAAAAAGAACUUAGAAUAUUGAUGAUAAGUUUUAGUUUCUUGUUUAGGAGUGAUGACUGCUGGGCAGUGUGUUUCUUGGUUAUUCUUGUUUUAUUGAAAAGCCAAAACCAUUUAUAUUUGGAAAUUCAUAUACACUUCUGGUUUUUAAAUUCGGAAACUUCUCUACUUCUUUCUACAUGUGUUAAAGGGAAGUUUGGCAUGUCCAAGAUACUGCAUUGAACUAGGCAUGACAUUAGUGGUUCAUCAAACAGUGCAUAAACAUUCUUACUUCAAAGCUUCAGCUAAAACUUGGGAUGAUUAUUUCUCCAUUUGUGUUGCAGGUACCUAUUAUAUUUGCAAAUUAAAAGAGACAUUUUUCAUGGUCGACUGCUGUGUUCCUUUUCUGAUGCUGCCUAUCUGGGUGCUUGUAUCGUUCAAGGUGAGUCUAGCCCCAGCACACUCAUCCCUACACUGCAUGGGUUAUGGAACUAUAUUCUGUGCCUCUUAUCUCUGCUACCUGUAACUAUUUUGUCUUUGUCUAUGGGGGAAUCUAGAUAUGUCUAGAUAGUUUGCAACAUAUUUCUCUGUUCAUUUUCCAAGCCACUCUUCCUGGCAGAUGGUUAAGCUCUAGUGUUCAUAGUGCUUAUAUUCACGUGUUAAGAUGUACAAAACCCCCAAAAGUAGAGUAUAGAGGUUUUUUUUCAAGGAGACAGACUAUCAUUUUACAAGACUUUCCAUAUUGACAUGGGUAUCCUAUAUUCUGAGUUACACCUGCUAAAUGUGAGACCUAAUACACGUACCAAGGGGGAAACUAUAUCAAAGAAGUGGAUUUUAAAUAAUUAUGGUCACUGAAAUCAUAUUUUCUGUGUGCAUAUAUUUUCUGUAAAUUCUUCAACUUUUCUAGCCAUAGAAGAAGAUGAAGAGACCAUUAAAUUCACAAGUCUAUUCACUGAAUCUUUAUUCAAUUUUCCUAAUUAUUUUGUCAGACAGGAAUAUCAUGAGUUCUUUAAGCUUCAGAACUUUCCUUAUAAAAUGGAGUACUUUUUCAAACUUUAAAAAUUCAAGUACUUUAAAAGUUCAGUUUCCCCAGGAGUCUUCCCCUUCUCCGAGGACAACAUGAGGGGGAGGGAGGAAGGAUCUGUGGAGGGAGGCACUGGGAGGAGAGGCUGCUAUUAGGAUGUUAAGCAAAAUAAUUAAUUAAUUAGUUAAUUAAUUAAUUUUAAAAGUUGUUUCUUUAAAACAUUCAAAGUGUCUUUUAAAGUUAAAAGUCUUUAUUAAUGGCCUAGUCGGCCAUCAUUGGGAAGAGAGGCCCCUUGGUCUUGCAAACUUUAUAUGCCCCAGUACAGGGGAACACCAGGGCCAAAAAGUGACAGUGGGUGGGUAGGGAAGUGGGGGGGAGGGUAUGGGGGACUUUUGGGAUAGCAUUGGAAAUGUAAAUGAAGGAAAUAUAUAAUAAUACUGAAAUACUUUAACACAAGAAGGAACAUUUGGGAUACAUUAAAACCAAAUCAAAGCUCAACAGUAUAAACAGCUCAGUGGUUACUGACAAGGACCCAUUCCUUAUCUUCUGAGCUACAAAUGCUUUGGAAUUAUCUUUCUACAGUGCUGCCAUCUACAGCACACAUAGAUGGUCUCCUAUACUCAAGCUGGCUCUGCAUCACAGAUUCCACUGUCCGUGGUGGUCAUCCCAUGAUACUGACAUCUCCAAAACCCUGGAGUCUCUGCUAGGAUUGGGCUGUACCUUCAGCAAUAGUUUCUCUUCAACUCUCUUCUGGGACUAUAUCUAUGACACAGGAUGUCAAGCCUUAAUUUCCUUCUAUGCCUUCUUCAAUCCUGGAGCUUCUACUGCAACUGAACUGUGCUUUCACCUAUAGCCUCUCCUGUCCUUUCACAGUGCCGACCCUCAGUCUUAACUCCAUGAUAUUUUCAAGUCUUCAAAACAAGUACCAUCUGGGUGCAACCAGCAGGAAGUUCAAUGUUGAUUGCCUAUGACCCAAUUCUGUGUGCUGAACCUGAGGGAAAUUUUCCCAAAAUAAUUUACCUGAAUGAUGAUGGCCUUUCUCAAUCACAGCUGAUUACUCAGAUUUUUAAUUCAAAAUUCCAUUCAAAUGGCUGUAUUUGCU